rnacentral:rRNA from 1 species
AAACUCCAUCUAAGGCUAAAUACGACCACGAGACCGAUAGCAAACAAGUACCGUGAGGAAAGUUGAAAAGAACUUUGAAGAGAGAGUUCAAGAGUACGUGAAACCGUUCAGGGGUAAACGGAAAAGACUUUAAACACCGAAAGGGAUGAUUCACGCUCUAUCGCAAGAGUCGGCACCCGUGAGGUGAGAUGGCGCCGUUCGCCCGCUCGGCGCAUGCCGUGGCGGGGUCGUUUCGGAAGUCACUCCACGCUCGCGGGUGUUAUGCCGGCCGCGAUGGGCCGCAUUUCAACCCCUGUAGGACACCGCGACCCGUUAGGCGACGGUCGACGGUCCCGGCGGGAGCCCGUGACGGAUGUAAAAGUCCGUUGCGGACCCCGGGUUACCUGGCUGAUCGGAAGGCGGUAUGAAACGCAGGUGUUGGACCGCCCCUAUUCAGGCGUCUGGGCCGGCCGCAAGCUCGUGCGCGCGUCGGGAUGACGGACUCCGGUCCGGCUCUCGGCCCGUACGGCUGUUGGUGGUCGUGCCCUUCGGACGGGUC